rnacentral:rRNA from 1 species
AGAGUUUGAUCAUGGCUCAGAAUGAACGUUGGCGGCACGCCUAACACAUGCAAGUCGAGCGAAGAACUAGUUUACUAGUUACUGAGCGGCGAACGGGUGAGUAAUACUUGGAUAAUCUGCCACUAGGAUUGGGAUAACCUCAGGAAACUGAGACUAAUACCAAAUAUGACCACAGUCUUUACGAAGACAGCGGUAAAAUGUUUUUUCGCCUAGUAAUGAGUCCAAGUCGCAUCAGGUUGUUGGUAAGGUAAUGGCUUACCAAGCCUAUGACGCGUAGCAGGUCUUAGCGGAUGAUCUGCCACAUGGGGACUGAGAUACGGCCCUGACUCCUACGGGAGGCAGCAGUGAGGAAUAUUGGACAAUGGACGCAAGUCUGAUCCAGCGAUGCCGCGUGAAGGAUGAAGGCCCUAGGGUUGUAAACUUCUGUCAGCAGGGAAGAUAAUGACGUACCUGC